AGAGUUUGAUCCUGGCUCAGAACGAACGCUGGCGGCAGGCUUAACACAUGCAAGUCGAACGCACCGCAAGGUGAGUGGCAGACGGGUGAGUAACGCGUGGGAACCUCCCCUGUGGUACGGAAUAGCUUCGGGAAACCGAAGCUAAUACCGUAUAUCUCCUCCGGGAGAAAGAUUUGUCGCCAUAGGAUGGGCCCGCGUUGGAUUAGCUAGUUGGUAGGGUAAUGGCCUACCAAGGCAACGAUCCAUAGCUGGUCUGAGAGGAUGAUCAGCCACAUUGGGACUGAGACACGGCCCAAACGUUUUCAAACGGCAGCAGUGAGGAAUUUUGGACAAUGGGCGAAAGCCUGAUCCAGCUAUAUUGCAUGGGUGAUGAAGGCUGUAUUGGCUGUAAAACCUUAAAUUUAAAUUUAGAUUAUGACAUUUUUUAAAUAAUAGUCCCGGCCAACUUCGUGCCAGCCGCCGCGGUAAUAC
rnacentral:rRNA from 1 species